rnacentral:rRNA from 1 species
CCUACGGGGGGCAGCAGUGGGGAAUAUUGCACAAUGGGGGAAACCCUGAUGCAGCAACGCAGCGUGAAGGAAGACGGUUUUCGGAUUGUAAACUUCUGUUCUUAGUGAAGAAUAAUGACGGUAGCUAAGGAGCAAGCCACGGCUAACUACGUGCCAGCAGCCGCGGUAAUAUGUAGGUGGCAAGCGUUGUCCGGAAUUACUGGGUGUAAAGGGUGCGCAGGCGGGAAGCCAAGUCAGCUGUGAAAACUACGGGGUUAACUUGUAGAUUGCAGUUGAAACUGGUUUUCUUGAGUGAAGUAGAGGUUGGCGGAAUUCCGAGUGUAGCGGUGAAAUGCGUAGAUAUUCGGAGGAACACCGGUGGCGAAGGCGGCCAACUGGGCUUUAACUGACGCUGAGGCUCGAAAGUGUGGGGAGCAAACAGGAUUAGAUACCCCUGUAGUC